rnacentral:RNase_P_RNA from 1 species
AGUCGGUGUCGGGCGGCCGCGUGCGUGGGGCUGAGUCACCUCGGUGAUUUAGGGACGCAUGAGGAAAGUCCGGGCUCCAUGCAGGCACGACGGCGGGUAAUUCCCGCCGGGGGCUGCGCAAGCGGCCUUCAGGGAUAGCGCCACAGAGAUUAGUCCGCCGCCCGGGUCGCUGGAUUUAUCCGGAGAUUUGGGAGGCAAGGGUGAAAAGGUGGGGUAAGAGCCCACCGCUGCGACCGCAAGGAAGCAGGCACGGCAAGCCCCGUCGGGAGCAAGACCGAAUAGGACCGCGCGCUUCGGGUCACACUGGAGCAGGCCUGUCUGCGGGCCGCGGUCGGGUUGGUCGCGAGAACCGGUCCGCGAGGGCCGGUCCAGAGGAAUGGUCGCCGCCCCGCCAUGGGAACACUUUGGCGGGGGCACAGAACCCGGCUUAUAGACACCGGCUGACA